AUGGCGCCAUCGGCUUCCGACGUCCUGCGCCUCGACGGCAACGGGAACCCGAGGACGCUCCGCCUCUUGGCGUCGCUCGUGGAGGCCGAGUCCCGCCGCUUCGCCGCCGCCGCCUCCGAGCCCGCGGAGAACGACCUCGUCCGGGCGUUCCGCGGCGGCGCGACCCCGGCCGUCCCCAUCGCCGAGUUCCUCGAGCGCCUCCAGCGCUGCAACUACUUGUUUGAUGGCGCCGUCUACGUCCUCGCGGCGGCGUACCUCGCGCUCUUCAUGCGCAGCCCCGCCGCGCUCGAGGCCGGGAUCGUCGUCGAGCCGGCCACCGCGCACCGCCUGAUUUCCGUGGCGGUCCUGCUCGGUGCCAAGUUCAGCAGCCCGAGGUACUACGAGAGGCGGGUGGAGUCGUUCCAGGUAUGCUCGGGCGAGUCCAUCCGGUCCACCGAGCUGUGCCCGCUCGAGUUGCUGUUCCUACGCGCCCUCGACUACCGGGUCUUCAUCGACGACGAAGAAUUCCGGCGCUUCUUCAGGAUCCUGGAACGCCGUCCAGCUCCAGCGCGCAGCGUGGCUUGUGCAGCGAAGAAGAGGAAGGCCGAGGAGGAGGUGGAACCACGCCGCGUGCGAGCUUGCCAGCUAGCCGCCCGCUACGGCAUCUCAGGAUUCAACCAGAGCUAA
rnacentral:rRNA from 1 species